rnacentral:rRNA from 1 species
GAUGAACGCUGGCGGCGUGCCUAAUACAUGCAAGUCGAGCGAACGGACGAGAAGCUUGCUUCUCUGAUGUUAGCGGCGGACGGGUGAGUAACACGUGGAUAACCUACCUAUAAGACUGGGAUAACUUCGGGAAACCGUAGCUAAUACCGGAUAAUAUUUUGAACCGCAUGGUUCAAAAGUGAAAGACGGUCUUGCUUUCACUUAUAGAUGGAUCCGCGCUGCAUUAGCUAGUUGGUAAGGUAACGGCUUACCAAGGCAACGAUGCAUAGCCGACCUGAGAGGGUGAUCGGCCACACUGGAACUGAGACACGGUCCAGACUCCUACGGGAGGCAGCAGUAGGGAAUCUUCCGCAAUGGGCGAAAGCCUGACGGAGCAACGCCGCGUGAGUGAUGAAGGUCUUCGGAUCGUAAUACUCUGUUAUUAGGGAAGAACAUAUGUGUAAGUAACUGUGCACAUCUUGACGGUACCUAAUCAGAAAGCCACGGCUAACUACGUG